GCAGUUUCUACUUUGCUGCCUUGCAGCCAGGUACACAGGCAUGCACCACUCCCCCUUUAAAGCUGUGGAAGUAGAGCAAGAACUGGCAGGGAUUUGAAGGAGAUUUCAAUGCAAACAGUCACCUCUGUUUCUGUAAGAGAUUGUUUGUGUGAAUGAGGAAUGCAUACAUCAGGAAAAGAUAAGGUAUGAAAGCCAUCACAAAUGUCCAGAUGGUCAAGAAAAAGUAAGAGACUUGGAAAAAGCAGGAGACAAUCAAAAAACAUCCAUUGUAUCUGAUGCUAAACAUGUUAGCAGCAUUGAUGACCUCAGAGGUGAGGCAGACACCCCUGAAGGCAAGACAACAAAUAGGAGAUAAUGAUGGGAAGCCCAACAAUAACCAUCAAAUGAUAACAGCAGAAAACCCCAAGAUUAACACCACUUGAGGACUAAUGAUUACAGGAUAACACUGAAAAAUGCAUGGACUCAAAUGGGAAUUUACAACUAUAAAGCUGGGGUGUUUUGCCAUGGAACUCUGGGUUCAGUCCUGCAAAGCCUCGGAGCAUCGGAUAGCGACCGACUGAGGCCAGCUCCUCACUUGUGCUCAGUCUAACUGGCCAUUAGAUUGACUCGAGCUACAACAGACUAGAAACUUUGCCAUGCCAAUCAGCAAUUACUUCUGAAGGAACCAAAGCAGCACACGAUGUGCCCUUGAGGGCCAGCUCCUACACACGGGCAGAACACCUCCAUCAGAUAAGGAGGUGAAUGAGGAGGAGUAAGGACAACAUGUUUUGCGAAGUAUUGCAAUCAUCAGACGAGGGUGAUAGUGAGCACAGAGUGUGGAGAGAGACAACAAACAAAAAACUAGAAAUGGAUUGCCAGGAGAAGAGACAGGGCCAGGAGCGAAUAAUACUGGGUCAGGAGUGGAAAAUAAAGCUCAUGGAGGACCAAAGAGAGAUGCUGUGGUCCCUGAUUGCACUGCAGGCAGAACACAUGCAUGCUCAACUCCCCCUGCAGCCCAUACAGAACUGCCUUCCUUGCCCUCUCCAAGCUUCUCCGACACAUUCCUCUCACGUUCCUGGCCCAUUGCAGUACCCCUUGAACUGCACCCCUAGGGACAUUUUCCAUAAAAACAGCUAGACUUACACACAGCUGUGAGAUCCUCACUUCAGAGAGUGCCGCACACUUUCAUGUACCUUGUAAGAAAUGUUAAUGUCUGUACUGAUGUUUAAUAAAAAAAUUGGCUUACAAAGA